UCUGCUUGGUUGGCCUCAUUCAAAAGGAUGU
rnacentral:piRNA from 1 species